rnacentral:rRNA from 1 species
AUAUUGCGCAAUGGGGGAAACCCUGACGCAGCAACGCCGCGUGAAGGAUGAAGGUUUUCGGAUUGUAAACUUCUUUGAUUGGGGACGAUAAUGACGGUACCCAAAAAACAAGCCACGGCUAACUACGUGCCAGCAGCCGCGGUAAUACGUAGGUGGCAAGCGUUGUCCGGAAUUACUGGGUGUAAAGGGCGUGUAGGCGGGGAUGCAAGUCAGAUGUGAAAUUCCGGGGCUCAACCCCGGCACUGCAUCUGAAACUGUGUCUCUUGAGUGCUGGAGAGGAAAGCGGAAUUCCUAGUGUAGCGGUGAAAUGCGUAGAUAUUAGGAGGAACACCAGUGGCGAAGGCGGCUUUCUGGACAGUAACUGACGCUGAGGCGCGAAAGCGUGGGUAGCGAACAGG